UUCGUAUCUUGUAGAAGAAUCUAAAGUCUCAAGUUUUCUAGUGGUCAAGCUACAGGCAACUUUUACCAUAAAGUAGUUGAGCCAUCAAUAGAACUUAGACCAUGAGCCAUCAAUAGAACUUAGACCAUGAUAACAUAUUCAUUUUUUAACUCUCAAAGUCCUCAGGUCGUGAAUGCUUAUUACUUCACCAUCCAAAUUUUGUAAUGAAUUGAGUUAAGAAUUUAUGAUUAUUGUCAAGUAAUUAUUUUGGUGGGACUUUAGUCAUGGAGCAGGCGUAGAUCGUUGAUAUUCUGUUGCUUAAAGAGCAGCCCUUUUGAUCAUUUCUUCGCCUGAUUCACAAGUUUCAAAAAGUUACUUGUUUACGCUGGAAGAGUUAAAUGGAUCAGUGAUACUUUAGCAUUUGACAGUUGUAUCUAACUGGAAACCAGUUGACUGGAGCAGUCCCUGAUUGGAUGGUGCAAGUUAAAAAUGUUGAUUUAUCAUACAACAACUUCACUGCUGGAGGCUCAGACUGUUAUAUAGGAUCUGUGUAUGUCCGAUUUCCUUCAGUCAGUCCAGGGCUCCCCCCAAAUGUGCACUUAUUGAGUAACUUAUAUCCUGUUUGUGUAUAAUAUUUCCAUUUCUCUGCUGAAUAUUGAUUUUGUCUUUUCUCUACAGCAAAUUGUUCACGAGCUCCGAGGUUGAGAAUGUGUAUGUUUGCGAUUAACUUUUCAACGAGAGAAUUGGAUUUCUAAGGACCCGCAUUUUUAUUGAUUAUGUACUUAGCAUUGAACUUCAUUAAGAAUGAUGAUGAUUAUAACAGUAAAAUCUUUGCUGACUU